AGUCCUUUUAUUGUAUAUUAGUGAACACUGUCAACCUACAUUUCCUGUUUUUGACUUAAAUUGUUUUUUAAACUGUAAAGCUCAAGUCACAUAUGCCCUGGACUCGAUAAAACAUCCCAGGAUUCUUAACCCUCUUAAUUUUCCUGUUCAUACCAAAGUAGCAUGCCUCUUUCCCGCUGAAGCAUAGCUCUUCUGUCAUUAAGUCUCUAAAAAUAAUUUAUUGCUUUAAAAGUAAGAAUAGGAAUGUGGUUAGUAAUUUACCGAUGAGUGCAGAUGGAAAGAUAAACUAAGGGAGGACAGCAA